rnacentral:lncRNA from 1 species
ACAGGUGGAAGUUGGCAAGUACUCACAUACAUCUAUAAACUCCAUAUAUACACAUAUAGCGCCCAUAAACGUAGGCGGUAGUACAUAUACGAUAUCGUCUCUGCAGCAACCAUGUGUCGUCCUCUGAACUCCAAGGAACUGCAGCGGAUUUUUGAGAAGCUGGACAAGAAUGGGGAUGGAGUCGUGAGCGUAGAGGAGAUAAAGUGGGUUUUGGAUGGAAUCGGAGUGGCGAUUAGCUUGGAGGAGAUUGGGUUUGUAGUGGGAGGAAAAUCGAGUCUGAACUUGAAUGAGUUCAUCUCAUUCUAUGCCUCCAUUUCUUCUUCUUCUUCUUCUUCUUCUUCUUCUUCUUCUUCAAAUGGUGAUGACGACGACGACGACGACGACGAUCUUGUUAAGGCGUUUAAAGUGUUUGACAUGAAUGGGGAUGGCUUCAUAUCAUGCGAAGAGCUUCAAAUGGUGCUAUCGAGGCUGGGAUUAUGGGAUGGUAAAGAUUGCAGGGUCAUGAUUUGUGUUUAUGAUACUAAUUUAGAUGGGAUGCUCGAUUAUCAAGAGUUCAAACACAUGAUGUCCGUGCAUGCUGUUUCUUAGAUUAGUGUAUGUAUAUAUAUAUAUAUAUAUAUGUAUAUGUAUAUGUAUAAUUAAUUAGUUUCAACAAGUUUUGCCACUUCAUUAUAACAGUAUAUACACCAGACUGAGAUUAGUAGGUGAUACAUAUGUAAUUGAUUCAUUUUACAUCUUUAUACUUUUGUAUUUCUUAUAAAAUCCUAAAAUAAAUCAACUCAAAGCAGCCUACUGUUGAAUUUAAGAAUCCAGAAGAAUGUAAUUUAUCAUAAUAGCCACUCCUGUUCUUCUAUUUAUUUACUUCACGUGUUCCUACACACACAUAUAUAUAUAUAUUGAUUUCCAUUGAUCAUACAUGCACACAUACAUAUAAUACAUAUAUAUAUAUAUAUAUAUAUAUAUAUAUUGGUCGGUUCCACAGACCAAUAUAGUUUUACUUACCAAAAAAAAGACAAGUGUAAUUGCAAAUAACAUUAAAUACAAACCCAAAUUUGAAAUAUUUCUUCUUCAUUUUCAAACUUUGUUCAUAAUAAAGUUCAAAGUUUGAGCAUAAAGUCUACAUAUAUAACAAAUUGUAAAGACAACUGAAAAUUGUAUUUCAAAGUUGACUUCUUCCCCACACGUUAAAAAAAAGGGAUGCUAAAUGCACUUCAACUUUUAGAAUUAAAUUACCCUAAUCUUGAGUUUAAGCAAUUAAAUACAAUAAUUAUAUUUAGAAAACUAGUCAAUAUACCAAAAAUUAUUUGAAUACUUAGUUUUAUCUUAAUUUUAAAUUUAAUUAAUUAAAUAUAAAAAUUAUAUUUAAAUAAAUAUUCAGUCCGUUAAAAAUAUAUAACUCAAAUAACGUAAUACUUUUAUACGAAAGCAAACGAAUCAUGUUCAGUCACCCUAUAUAAAAUAAAAAAAAACUCUUCAAACAAUAUUGUUAAAUUAGAUGUUAUUUGACGUAUUAAUUAAUAUUACGUGAUAUAAUACGUUAAUACUG